UUCUUCCUUGCACACAGCAAUCAUCUCACAUGUGGGCUCCACUCCACUGCUGAAUCGCCAGAGGCAGAGCUAACUUGCUCACCUUUUACUGGACUGUGAAUGGCAGUUUUGAUUUUCUGCACCGUACAAGAGAUGAGGUUGUUGACCGUCUCGACCGACUCCACCGUCAGCUUCGCUGUGGGGAGGCUGUUUACCACGAUCUGGAACGCCACCGUUAAGAGAGACCCAUCCAUCUUCGUCGCCGAGUUGCUUCUGUUGCGUGGCCCACCGCCAUCGGGUAAGAUCACGAAGCCCGACGGGAGAAGCGCCACGUGGGUAGAGUCAUCGCCGUUCAUAACCGCCUGCAUGGCUGGGAUGUCGACUGGUGCGUAUACAACAAGCGAACCUGACGAGUCUGUGCACGUCUCCUGCAGUAUCAGCAUGCUGCUCUGACUCGCGCUCAUCGCCUGCGCAUGUUAGCGAGAGGAUAAAAAAUUACAACAAUAAAAGCAAAAGGGCUAGAUUAUCAAAGGGUUUUUAAAUUAUCGAAUUGAGAGCUUCUAUCCGUUGCAUUUCCGCGAUGACAGAGUCUGACCCGCCGUAUAAACGGUCUGGAUUAUUGGUAAAUGACAGACAUUCGCAGGC